rnacentral:rRNA from 1 species
GUGGGGAAUCUUGCGCAAUGGGCGAAAGCCUGACGCAGCCAUGCCGCGUGAAUGAUGAAGGUCUUAGGAUUGUAAAAUUCUUUCACCGGGGACGAUAAUGACGGUACCCGGAGAAGAAGCCCCGGCUAACUUCGUGCCAGCAGCCGCGGUAAUACGAAGGGGGCUAGCGUUGCUCGGAAUUACUGGGCGUAAAGGGCGCGUAGGCGGAUCGUUAAGUCAGGGGUGAAAUCCCAGAGCUCAACUCUGGAACUGCACUUGAUACUGGCGAUCUUGAGUGUGAGAGAGGUAUGUGGAACUCCGAGUGUAGAGGUGAAAUUCGUAGAGAUUCGGAAGAACAACAGUGGCGAAGGCGACAUACUGGCUCAUUACUGACGCUGAGGCGCGAAAGCGUGGGGAGCAAACAGGAUUAGAAACCCCAGUAGUCC